CACGCGGACGGCUAGCCUAUUUGAUUGUUACUCGGUCAAGCCGCGUUUGGUAACCCCCUGGAGUCGCCCUCGCCGCUUUUACUGCCACUUCUUCUUAAGGAGUCGAACCAGCUUGGGGGUGGAAUGUAUUCAUGGUCGUUCACGAAUUUAUCGCCGUGGAUCGGUUCGGGAGAAGUUUUGUGCGUUUAGUAGGGGAACGUAUUAGGCGUAGGAAUUAGUUCUGUGCACUUUUUUUGUUCGAUAAUCCUUUGUAACUUUAAGUAGAAAUAUCUAAUCGUCUUGUUUUUAUAUGUUCUAGGUUCUCGACCUGGCCUUCGUUACGAUGAAUCUAUAGAUGGUGUUUAUUCGUUAAGACGUCGAGCUCUUAAGAUAGAGGCUGCGAGCGUUACAUUGUUCGUAGAAUAUAAGUAUUUUUAUAUAGAACUAGUUUUAUCCAGAGUAGUGUUUCCUCGUCUUAGGAAUAACUCUUGAAUGCCAUCUUACGUUGCAGAUGGUGUUUAUUCGUUAAGACUUCGAGCUCUUAAGAUAGAGGCUGCGAGCGUUACAUUACGGUGUUUAUUCGUUAAGAGCUCGCAGCCUCCGAGGUCUGGACGUUUGUACAAGAAAAAUUUCCUCCCAAGAUGAUGUUUGCAAUCGUAGACGCGUAAGAGGACUCGAAAACACUCCUAAGAACGACACCGUCGGCAUGUUGCCAGUGUCGCGAUCGCUAUACGACCGCGUCUGGUCCUAUAAAAAUGCUAAACGCGGAGUCUUGACAGAGGAUACGAAAAUCGAACGAUAUCGAAAAUUUAAGAACGUCAGACGUGCAUUUCACGCGCGUCGAGAUGCGCGAACGUGUACCAGAUUGAAUUUGCAUAGAUACGUUUAAGUACCGUACUCCCUACGGACGGCGAUACAGAGAUUACGCAAACGCAUCUAUGCCGAAUAUUAAAUUAUAAAUUCCUCUCGAUUCGAGAGGAAUGCACAUAACGUACAAAUAAGAAAAUGUUUGCGUAAUUGAAAUUCCUUAUGUAAAACAUAGUAACUGUCGUAUAGAUGAGUAUUGCUCCCAGAAAUGGGCCACGAAGAAUGAUCGAGGCGUGUUAAUAAACGCAGGAAAUAAUAAUGUCGGGCGUCGCUUGAAAGCGACUGUUUACCUACUUCCUUAAGGACGGGGGGGAUCCCAACGAAAUGAACUGUAAAAUAAAAAUAAAUGUUACACUCGCGCGCACGUCUCGCACAUCUCAAAAUUAGGUCACUCGCGUGUCAGUUUAUUUUAUUUUAUUUUUU